rnacentral:piRNA from 1 species
UGUCAGACAGUGGGGACAAGGUGGCCGU